GGUUGCGAUCAUACCAGCACUAAUGCACCGGAUCCCAUCAGAACUCCGUAGUUAAGCGUGAUUGGCCGAGAGUAGUACUAGGAUGGGUGACCCCCUGGGAAGUCCUCGUGUUGCAACCCU
rnacentral:rRNA from 1 species